GACGUAGGGGGCGAGCGUUGUCCGGAUUUAUUGGGCGUAAAGAGCGUGUAGGCGGCCAGGUAGGUCUGCUGUGAAAACUCGAGGCUCAACCUCGAGACGUCGGCGGAAACCAUCUGGCUAGAGUCCGGAAGAGGAGAGUGGAAUUCCUGGUGUAGCGGUGAAAUGCGCAGAUAUCAGGAAGAACACCCGUGGCGAAGGCGGCUCUCUGGGACGGUACUGACGCUGAGACGCGAAAGCGUGGGGAGCGAACAGG
rnacentral:rRNA from 1 species